rnacentral:SRP_RNA from 2 species
GCUGGGCGUGGUGGCGCAUGCCUGUAGUCCCAGCUACUCGGGAGGCUGAGGCAGGAGAAUCGCUUGAACGCGGGAAGCAGAGGUUGUAGUGAGCUGAGAUCACGCCAUUGCACUCCAGCGUGGGCAACAAAAAAAAGAAAAGAAAAGAAUAAAAUAAAAUAAAAGAGAUUGCAAAACGUUUUUCUUUACCUUUUUUUUUUCAGACGGAGUCUCGCUCUGUCACCCAGGCUGGAGUGCAAUGGCGCGAUCUCCACUCACUGCAACCUCCGCCUCCCGGGCUCAAGCAAUUCUCCUGUCUCAG